AGCGAACGCUGGCGGCAGGCCUAACACAUGCAAGUCGAACGAAGUCUUCGGACUUAGUGGCGGACGGGUGAGUAACACGUGGGAACGUGCCUUUAGGUUCGGAAUAACUCAGGGAAACUUGUGCUAAUACCGAAUGUGCCCUUCGGGGGAAAGAUUUAUCGCCUUUAGAGCGGCCCGCGUCUGAUUAGCUAGUUGGUGAGGUAAAGGCUCACCAGGGCGACGAUCAGUAGCUGGUCUGAGAGGAUGAUCAGCCACAUUGGGACUGAGACACGGCCCAAACUCCUACGGGAGGCAGCAGUGGGGAAUCUUGCGCAAUGGGCGAAAGCCUGACGAAGCCAUGCCGCGUGAAUGAUGAAGGUCUUAGGAUUGUAAAAUUCUUUCACCGGGGACGAUAAUGACGGUACCCGGGGAAGAAGCCCCGGCUAACUUCGUGCCAGACGCCGCAGUAAAAC
rnacentral:rRNA from 1 species